rnacentral:rRNA from 1 species
GCCUAACACAUGCAAGUCGUACGAGAUUUGCUUUUUUUUCGGAAAGAGUGAAUUGCAGUGGCGGACGGGUGAGGAACGCGUAAGAACUUACCUUUUGGUGGGGGAUAACAGUGGGAAACUGCUGCUAAUACCCCAUAAUGCUGAGGAGCUAAAAGUGAAAACUGCUAAGAGAGAGGCUUGCGUCUGAUUAGCUAGUUGGUGGGGGUAAAGGCUUCCCAAGGCGACGAUCAGUAGCUGGUCUGAGAGGAUGAUCAGCCACACUGGGACUGAGACACGGCCCAGACUCCUACGGGAGGCAGCAGUGGGGAAUUUUCCACAAUGGGCGAAAGCCUGAUGGAGCAAUACCGCGUGAGGGAAGAAGCAUCGUGGUGUGUAAACCUCUUUUCUUAAGGAAGAAUAAAUGACGGUACUUAAGGAAUAAGCACCGGCUAACUCUGUGCCAGCCGCCGCAGUAAAAC